CACCCGCACUCAGCAGGUCGCGUGCAGGACUGAGGCCCCACCAGGUGAUGCAGCCGACGCCCUCUGACGCCCGUCCAGCACUCAUCCUGUAACAAUGACCCAAAGAAAGACAAAGGAAGACAAAGGAAGAAGAGGUACACCUGACUGACCUACCUGAGCAUCUGUGAAGUUGUAGUCCAACGAGAACUCCAGCCUGCCCAAUUUUUCCUGCUCUUUCUCCUCUUCCUCUCCUUCUUUCUUCACCUCGCCCUCCUGCCAGAUAAAAACAUCAGUGCGUUGGAUAUUCAUCAUGAAGAUCUAGAUCAGCACUUCUUGAAAAGACAGAAGAUGCAGCACGCCACCAAAACCAGGACCACCACAACGAUGGCUGCGACCGCCCACACGGGCACUGCAAAAUGAAAAGGUGAAUUCACUCAUCAGUAUUCGCUGUAUGUAUGCUUAUUAUGGCAGAAAGGAGUGGAUGUCUGAUCCCCAUUUCAUUCACAAUAGUAACAUGAUGUGGAGAAAUCCUGACCCCCAAACAACAACAACAAAAAACAUGUAUUUAAAUCUAAUCUUCAAGUAGACUUCUUAACUUUUAAACACUACCCUCUCCAUCGAAGGCUUUGUAAAAGUCUUAUGCGUCAGGAUUUUCAAGAGGAUUUAAAUCUUUCACAUCUUGAGAUUACAUCCACUUUCAUAAAUCAGUUUACUCCUACAAUCUAAAACAGUUCCAACAAUAUUGUUGAACAUAAACUCAUUUUCCAAAGCUUGGAAAACAGAAC